UGUAGUUUAUAUUUAUAAUUUAUAUACAUGUAGGUACAUCGCGAUUUUAGAACGACGAGCCGUUGAAUUUUCAGCGUUCGUUUUCGUCUCAGUGCUUGUACAAAUUUUGCGAACGUUUUAAUAAGAAUCUGCUUCGCGGAAAGGCAAAUGACUGUAUUUGCGCCGAAAAUACAGAUCGCAAAAGAUAUAUUUAUAUCGAUGUAAUUAUUAUAUAAAACGAAGAGAACGAUUUAGAGAGUAGAAUAAAAAUAAUUGAAACGACCAGCGUUCCAAACGAAUGCUGUUAUCUGGUGUAAUAAAGAUGUCAAGCAAAACUUUCCCAGAUCCGAAUAACAGUAGUACGUAACACACGUAUUUGUACAAUACAUGUAUAUCUCUCUCGAAUCGUGGAAUGACAACUAUAAAUAUAAAUAACUGUUUCAAAGUUUGAUAUAACGUGGAAUAGUCGAUCGAAAUGUUUAGCUUUACAAGUAAACGUAAUUUAUUCGACGCUUAUCUUUUGAAAAUGGAAGGGGAAAUACCAAACGCUUCUUCGUCUAUCCGUGGAAGAUAUAGUUUUAUAUAACGCUGAUAUUAUAUUCUCGAGUCUGAUGAUGGAAUAGCAAAGUUUCCUGGGUCCUUUCCGCCAAACGGUACUAAUAUAUUCUACGAAUAAACAUAGGAAGAGAGUGUUGUGUCGUAUAAAAAUGUCAUGAAGAGUAGUGAGAAGAAUGCGAAAAAUAACGGCGGAUUUAUCUUUCGUUCGAUAAAAGUUUUAACAGUUACCGCGUUCUUUUCACGUAAGAAGAAUUAACGCAACGAACGCGUAACUCGGUUGUUGAUGGAAAUUC